AGGUGCGAUGAUACCUGCACUAAUGCAUUGAAUCCCAUAAGAACUCCACAGUCAAGCGUGUAUGGGCGCGAGUAGUACUAGGAUGAGUGACCUCUUGGGAAAUCCUCGUGUUGCACCUC
rfam:Lupinus angustifolius cultivar Tanjil chromosome LG15, whole genome shotgun sequence.